UUAUUCUAGGAUUGUCUUAAAUGAUUCCUUAAACAUUUGAAAAUUAUGCUGUAAACAUUAUAUUGUAAUUAAUUAACUAAAUUUUUUCAUCCUUAAUGUAAUAUAUUAAUAAUGUAACUUGUGUAAAUAUUUAUCAUUUCAGAACUGGUCUGCUCAUUAUUGGAAUGGACGAUUGGAUUCCAUCUUUUAUCAAAAUUCAGAAAUAAUCAGUGUAGUUUACAGUUGGUAUAGACAGAAAUGGAAUAGAUAGUGUGUAACAUAUCCCAGUGCAAGUACUUUAAAUUCUUUCAAAGUGUAACUUUGGUUUAAUUGUUCUUAAAUAGUGAAAGAUUGAUCAUUUCCAAUUAAAAUAUCGCUCUUGUACAGGUCUGUGAAUGCUUAAAAAAUUGUGGAAUUCGAUAAGGAGGCGAAGAUUCCUUAUGUAUUUAAAUGUGCGUAUUGGAUUUCUUACGACGUUCCUGUGUGUGUUCAGAGUAAUUGCGUUUUACAAAAUAAUUUUGGAGAAGUUAUGAUACUCAGCCUCAAUACUGAUGACUGAAGAUGAAUCUGUGACUAAAACUAAAUCUCCAUUGAC